UAUAGCUUAGUAUUUCAUAGGAAGAAUUCUUCCUGUUUUUGGUUGUUGACAGCAUAAGCGUAGAUUUCUUAUUUACCUAUCUAUUCUUAUUUACAGUUCGGCUCCUUCCCUUUAACUGAAAGCAACCUUUCAGUCCCCCUCUCAGCAGUGCUUCUGUCUUUUGGGACUGUGUUCAGAGGGGAUGAAAGAAAGAACCACAAGCAGUUUCUAGAAAGUAUGAUUUAAAAAGAAAGCUAUCCAUGCUUUUGGAACGGAAAGAUUAUUUAUAAUCUGUGAUUUUCUUUCUGUGUUUCAUGACAAGCAAGAAGUGAAGCCCAUGCGUGGGAGGCCUCCAUCAGCACGUGUGAAAGCCGCUUUCAGGGGGGACCGGACGACUGUCCACAAGCCAAAAGGCUGCUUCAGCAAACCCCCUGUUGCUCCUCCACAGUGAUUCACCACCAUGAACAACCAGCACAUGCCCUGGCAACCUGUCGGGACAAAGCUGGACGCCCGAUGUUGGCGUGUCGGGUUACAUUAGGCCCUGCGUGCCUCACAGAAUUGGUUUUGGUAUAAGGAUAACUGCAUGGAUUGAGAUAGCGGACUGAGUUUAGUAACCGCAUCAUCUCAGGGACGUCUAAUCCUAAAAUGCUGCUUGCUACAGAUUGUGAAAUCGACACAGGAUUUCCAGGGGGAUGUUAAGGCUUUGGGUUUUCCGCUUGCUGCGCAUCCGUGUGUCAUUACUGGUGCUUCCGUUUAAUGCCGCAGCGUGAAGAGGGUGCACCGGGAGGUCCCUGCCUGGUGCACCUGGCCUGACGGCCUAUGGCACAGCUGUAGCCCUAGGUCACUGGUGCCAGGGAUUCGCUUUUUUGUUGACAUCCACUUCUCUGGGCAUUCCCAGAUGGUCCUCUGCUCUGUCCCUGACUUCCCCCAAGUCCAAGGACAGCUUUGGGGAUCCUGGGAUAUUGGGGAUUGAUCGGGGUCUCUGGCAGUCAGGCUUGCUGCUGCCCAGGAUGGCCCAGGUUAGAGAGAUGAAGGUCUGCUUUCUGAGCCCAGUUCAGACUCCAAUUCCCAGCUUGCUGUUCUGACAGCUUCUUGGAGCUCACACCAGAAGGGUCUUGCAGAUUAUUUCUUGAAGGGUGGUGUGUGCCGCAGGCUUGCCUAAGGCCUGAUGGCAGUUUUUGGUGAGGAGCUGGGAGCCCCUGAAGCUGGGCGAGUGUGUGAGGUGCGGGGGGGGGGGGGGGGGGGGAGUGUGACAAGUGCAACAUGAAGGUCACCAGAGUUCACCAAGAAGACAAGGAGGCAGCAGGAGGGUUGGAGCCGUGUAGGUGCCUGGAGAUUGUCUUCUUGUACAGCAGAGGAACUCCGGGAAGGGAAGCCAGUCUCUUCCUCAGUGCCCGAUCGUCUCAGGCACACGGGACGUUCACACUGGCACUGGCCGUGCUCCUGCUAGAAGUCUUCGCAGGGGCUGCUGCCACAGGUACUGAUGACAUGAGUCUUGUAUUUGAGGCGGUGACAGGAGCCACCGGUUGGGAACACAGGCAAACUCUUCUGGAGUUCCAGUAACUAUGGAAUGGUGAGUUCACUAGGACAUGCUAGGCUUUCUCUCAAAGCACACAGAUCUGCGCCUACUGUAAUUCUGCCAACAAAAUGGGUGGUUGAAGGAGAUGAGGAAGUUUGGAAAUGGGAUAUUGAAAGCAUUGAAGUGGCCCCUUGUGUUGGCUGCACAAGAAUGGAAGAAUUUGGAUCAUUGUGUGAUUCGUGCAAUAAAUUCACUUUGUCUCCUUAUAGAAAUAUUUUAGGAAAAAGGAUGCUUUUAUCCUAAAUUAUCUAGAUGACUGCUUCAAAUCUUUUUUUUUCCCAAAUAGUUUUACCUCAUCUUGUUAGGUUUCAAUUGAAAUAAUUUUUUGAAAGUUCAUGUAAAUUGCAUUUUUCAAUAUUAGAAGCAAACAAAUCCAAAUGCUCUCCAGGUAUCGUGGUAGAUCUUUAGAAGUCUAUGGAAGUCCUUGACUGAGAUUUUUGAAGUACAACUCGUCACGCAAUUAGUAAUAGAAACAAGAGAUCAAGGACAACAUUCAUCCAUAUUCUUCUGUGCUAAAUGAACAUUCCAAACAUAUGUGUGAUGCCACAGAAGUCUUUACCUUGAGGAGGAAGAGAUAACAUUCUGGCAAACCAAAAUUACCAAAGAAAAGUUCCACUAACCCACCGUAUUAUUAAGACUUGCUAAAAAUUAAACUACUGGCUUCCUCAGACCUUUGUGAAUAGUCAACAAAGUCCAUUUUUCUUACCUAAGAGCCCCAAAUUGGUGGAAACUGCAAAUUAUGUUCUAUGAUGUUUCAAUUUAAACAGCCACGUUGUAUUUUUCUAUUACUUUCCUGAAAUACUAGAGAUGUACGGGUAUAUAAUAAAGGUGUUUUAAAAAAUGACCUGACAUGGGCAGCCCAGGUGGCUCAGGGGUUUGGCACCACCUUUGAUCGAGGGGAUGAUCCUGGAGACCAGGGAUCAAGUCCCACGUCAGGCUCCCUGCAUGGAGCCUGCUUCUCCCUCUGCCUGUGUCUUUGACUUUCUGUGUCUCUCAUGAAUAAAUAAAUAAAAAUCUUUUUUAAAAAAAUGACCUGACAUUAUACAUGAUUUAUUGUGUAAUCAACAAUUAGGGGGCAACGCCUGAUUUUGUGUUAAAGGUAUGAGAUCUGUUUCUGCUCCAUUAGCAGGAAGGACAGGACAGCCACAUAACCUGUGCUUUACACAGAUCAUUCUGAAGGCACUGGCAUGUUGCACACUUUGCAUUUCCCUGGUGCUCUUUGUUAGCACGUGGACACAAGUCCAUAUGGACGCUGGAAUACUUUUAAAAGGUUUUCAUUCUCAGCAUACACUAGGUAAUAACUUAAAUAUUCUACAUUUAAUUCAAGUAGCCAGUCUUACAAAACGAAGGGGAGGAGGGAAAGGGAGAUGUAUUUUACCUUGUUGGUCACUUGGUGACCUACCAACUUCACCACUUAAUUGCACGAUGACCCACUCCACCACCAGGAUUUUUUGUUCUUUCUUGGCGAGGAAGGGAGAGGUCAAGGCAUGCAGUCGUUUCGAUUUGGCAGCAUGCUCUGUGUUCCGGCUCUGUAGCUGGGAAGUAUGGGCAGCAACCGGCUGGACUGGAGCAAGUCCCUCAGCUACACUCAGUGCUCCAAUCUAUUGUAUAGAAUAAACCACUUCUGUCUAUCCCCAUAGGUAAGGCAUCGUGAAGACAAAAGGGGUCUCCUGUGUUUUGAGUUCCUUGGUGGAAAGCUGAAAUGGGAAACUGCUUUAUGUGCAGAGACAUGUUUGCAUAUGUGAGAACUGAAUUUAGUGGCCAAAGGGUCCUUUCCUUUAAAUCAACAAGCUGGCAGCUCACCAUGUUGUUGGUUUAUCCAUCUUCCUGAAGUUAGAAAGUGAGGACGGCAUAUGGCAUGGAGCUGAAACCUACUCAGGAGGUCAAAGAUCGUGGUGGAAGCGGUGGGGCGCAGGCAAGUGUCCUUGGAGAGGUCUGGCUGUCGGUGAGGUGGGGCUGGCUGGUCCUCAGUGGGAGGACUCCCAAGAAGCCAGCUCUGGAGACCAGAGAGGCUGGAAGCCAGGGAGCAUGUGAAUGGAGAUCUUCAUGAGGCAGGGCGAGGUGAGCUGUGAGGUUUGCCUUGGGCACAAGGACGUCACAAGGGAGCCCCACAAGCGUGCAGAUGUACCAUUCCCCUUUCCCGUCUGCCCCCUUUUCCCGGGAUCAUGGACAGAUCCAAACAAUUCCUCCUUUCUGACACCAUUCACUGCCCUACCAAACUAUGUGGCAAGAAUUUUGUUUGCUGAGAUGAGGAAAGUCAGAGGAAGACGAGAGAGAGCAUGUUCAGAAGAUUGCCACCUGCUGGAAGCCACUGCUUUGCCUGGCGGUAGGACCCAGGGCAGAGAUGGGACGGGCAGAGGCUGCUGUUCCCCGCCCCCGUCACCAGCGCUUCUUUUGGGGAGGCCAGGGAGACGCUUUCCUGGGUGGUGCUAUUCCUGAAAGGCUCCCACCAGCCAAAAAAAGUCCAAGCCAUGGCCUUGUUCUGAGACCCUCUUGCUGGGGCCCCAAUUGCCGUCUGGGGAGGAUGGUUUUAAAAAUAAAAUGUAUGAUUUCAUGGGUUUUAUGUGGAGUGGCCGCCCUCCCCAUGAAGGAUCCACACAAUAUAGGUACAGCUGUUUUCUCUGCUUCUCAAGUGUUGCUCUUUCUUCAAAGAGCUGAACACUCCUUAAGACCAUGAAUACAGAAAAUCAUCUCCUUGCUUACAGCUGACACUGAGAAGCCGCUGUUUAAAAACAUCCAACGAGGAGAGGACGUCGCUGUGUGAAGCCAGAUACCUCCAACUGCCCUUUCAGUCUACUGAAGAAUGUGGGGCGGGAAAAGAACAGAGAAAGCAGAGUCUCUAAUCACAGCUGUUCCUCAAGUAUUCUCAGGCCUCGUGGCAAUUUUUAACAAUCCAAAUAAAGGGAGGUUUGGCGUUACUUGGCACAUAGUAAGUACUCAGUAAAUACUGGCUGAAUGUUCCUUAUCUGUUGGGAAGAAUUUGACUAACUUCGUAAAACUGUAAAGUUCUUUGAGGGGCUCCUGGAAUAUAUCUAGAUAAUUCAAACAGAAAACACUAAAAUGUCAUUUGCUUGGGAAUGCAUAUGCAAACAAGCAGUAUUAGCAGGGCGAACCACAUUUCUGAUGGAGUCCGGAAAUGCUUGGAAACCUCACCUGCAGAUAGUUAAAAUUUAAAAAAAAUCAUCAUUCCUCUAGUUGUUGCAGAUUGGGGGUACUUUAUUUAAAUCCAGGGACUCCUGAAAUUGUAU
rnacentral:lncRNA from 1 species